AUGACGAGCUUCUUCCUCGCCGCCGUCCUGGCUCUUCACGUCGGCCUGGGAACUGCAGAGGCAGAUGACGGGAUAUCAGAGCUACUCUACAACUAUGCGGCCUAUUAUGGCGAUUACCUGUACGCCACCGGGGAAUAUUACACCGAGAACAUCACAUUGAUACCCACAAUAUACCCCUACGAGGAGGAAUACCCGGAGCCCGGGGGCGCGGGAUCAGCCCUGCGAUGUCACCUGCCUCUCAUCAUCCUCUUCAGCCUCCUGGCCUCCAUGUUAUGACUCCCGGUCUCCCCCCUUAGAAGAGCCGGCGACAUCGGAUACGAAAGAGCCACCCCCUCCCCGUGGGGUCCGGACGGAGCCGUCCCCUCCGGAUUUGGCACCACUGUGACUUUACACACGGAAUUUGGGGACACGGACGGCACUGCCCGGGGCCUUGCACGGGCGCCAAAGAGCUUCGCCGGGCUCCGCUCCCUCCCCAUUUCCUCUAAUUCUGCUGUAAAUAGGAACSCCUGCCAAUAAAAUCACUAACAGCCGACUCCACGUCUCAGGGCUGCGGGAUGCAGCCCCAAGCCUGGAGCAGCCCGCGCAGAGCGGGUUAAUCCCGCUUUCCCUAUGCAAUUCCCAGCGGCUUUGCC